rnacentral:rRNA from 1 species
UAACACGUGGGCAAUCUGCCCUUCACUCUGGGACAAGCCCUGGAAACGGGGUCUAAUACCGGAUAACACUCUGUCCUGCAUGGGACGGGGUUGAAAGCUCCGGCGGUGAAGGAUGAGCCCGCGGCCUAUCAGCUUGUUGGUGGGGUAAUGGCCUACCAAGGCGACGACGGGUAGCCGGCCUGAGAGGGCGACCGGCCACACUGGGACUGAGACACGGCCCAGACUCCUACGGGAGGCAGCAGUGGGGAAUAUUGCACAAUGGGCGAAAGCCUGAUGCAGCGACGCCGCGUGAGGGAUGACGGCCUUCGGGUUGUAAACCUCUUUCAGCAGGGAAGAAGCGCAAGUGACGGUACCUGCAGAAGAAGCGCCGGCUAACUACGUGCCAGCAGCCGCGGUAAUACGUAGGGCGCAAGCGUUGUCCGGAAUUAUUGGGCGUAAAGAGCUCGUAGCGGCUUGUCACGUCGGAUGUGAA